GCCGCGUUAGCUCAAUUGAUAGAGCAUCGCACGUGAAAUGCGAAGGUUGUGGGUUCGGUUCCCACCUGCGGCA
rnacentral:tRNA from 1 species